CCAAUCCGCCCGGCGCGCGCCCGCAGCCUCGCCAACUCCCUACUGUCUCCCCCAUCCGCCUACCAAUCGCCACCCUUCCCCGAGGCAGAGGCCCACGGCGACUAGCCCGCCGUCGCCGACGUAGCCACGGCCAGAUAAUGCUGUCCAAGUGGAUGGUCGACGCCCCUCCCCACCUCGCCCACGACUGGCAUGUUUCUGCCAGGCCUGCUGGCAAGCGACACCUGGUCGUGUCAUCGAACGGCAUCACGAUAAGCAGGCUCCGCAAUGGGACCAUUCUCCAUUGGUUCCCUUCGGAGCUUCCCAACUGAUCAAAGAGGGUGAUCUCUGGCCCAGCAAGAUCCUACUGUAUCCGCGACUAAAUAUUCCACGAGUUAGCCAAGCAAAUAGACUUUUCUUUUGAGCCUGACGAGACACACUACGUCGUUGAUAUGAUUUGUUGGCGAGGCUAUUUGCUGUAUGAUUGCACCGCCGAGUUCAGGAUUUUUUGGGUGAACUAGAAGCUCACCGAGAUUUCUGCCGGUGAUCCUCCGUCGACGUACCAUCGGUAUUGGUUUAGUGCCUUCCCUAUGUACGAGUCUACACUCGAGGGUCUUGAAGCAGCGUACUCAGGAAGCACACCUUAUGUCAAGGAUGGUUUGCUGUUUUACAACAAGCAUGUGCAUUAUCAAUCGGGAAUCACGCCCCUGACACUGGUAUGGAAAGAUGUGGCUUGCAGGUUGCAGCCAGUAUGUUCUUGAUACGGAUAGUGAGGGACACGUUCCAACAGAGCAGCACGGAGGUUGUUCUUGAGCUGCAAGAGGAUGGAAAACUAAUUGCUUCUGAUGAGAUCCUAAUUGUAUUUGGUACACCGAAUUUAUACAGAAGUCAAACCUGCAGCCAGGGAACCUUCUCCGCUUCGGCUUGUAGAUGGGAAGAUAGAGAUUGGUGAGCUGCCAUUUGCCGGGAAGCUGAACCAAACGCGUACUCUUGCUGAUAGCCAUUCCAAAGUUCUGUUUCAGUAUGCUGCCAGACAUGCUCCCCUCAGAAUCAAAGACCUCGUAGCCUCUGUUCAAUCAAACAGCAUGGAGGUUGAAUCUACAGAUGCUGAAAUGCAAGAUUAAGUCAUGCAAGGCAGAUUUUUUGCAUUUGACUGGACACCAUGCUAGGAUGAAAUUGUUGUAAGUGAGUCCAAGGGGUAUGCCAGUGGUGGCAUGCAGAUGGACAGCUGCGCAAACGAAGUGAUGUUCCAAAAGAUGUGGUCAUCAAAGAGCAUCGUAUUUCCAAACCUUAUAGAGCACCUCAAGACCUUUUUUUUCGAGGACACCGCAGGAGUUGUACUUGUCAAUAUAUUAAGAUAGAAAGAAUGUAAUUUACAAGAUUUUUGCCAGCGCCAUCAAGGCCUCUGUCACACUGAUGACUCCACAGACGGAGCAUCAGGGCUUAGUCCACUCUACCCUAUUACUAUUAUGGUACAUUAUAAUAACUCUUGCAAUUCCACGAAGCUUCACUA